rnacentral:rRNA from 1 species
GACGAACGCUGGCGGCGUGCCUAAUACAUGCAAGUAGAACGCACAGUUUAUACCGUAGCUUGCUACACCAUAAACUGUGAGUUGCGAACGGGUGAGUAACGCGUAGGUAACCUGCCUGGUAGCGGGGGAUAACUAUUGGAAACGAUAGCUAAUACCGCAUAAUAUUAAUUAUUGCAUGAUAAUUGAUUGAAAGAUGCAAUUGCAUCACUACCAGAUGGACCUGCGUUGUAUUAGCUAGUAGGUGAGGUAACGGCUCACCUAGGCGAAGAUACAUAGCCGACCUGGGGAGGGGAUCGGCCACACGGGGAAGUAGACACGGCCCAAACCUCCACGGGGGGGAGCAGGAGGGGAACUUCGGGAAAGGGGGGAAGGCUGGCCGGGGCAGGCCGCGGGAGGGAAGAAGGGUCUCGGGUCGAAAAGACCUGUUGAAAGGGGAGAACGGGAGGGAGAGGGAAAAGUUCACACUGUGACGGUAUCUUACCAGAAAGGGACGGCUAACUACGUG